rnacentral:rRNA from 1 species
UACGUAGGGGGCAAGCGUUGUCCGGAAUCAUUGGGCGUAAAGAGCGUGUAGGCGGCCCGAUAAGUCCGCUGUGAAAGUCCAGGGCUCAACCCUGGAAUGCCAGUGGAAACUGUCGGGCUGGAGUCCGGAAGAGGCGAGUGGAAUUCCUGGUGUAGCGGUGAAAUGCGCAGAUAUCAGGAGGAACACCAAUGGCGAAGGCAGCUCGCUGGGACGGUACUGACGCUGAGACGCGAAAGCAUGGGGAGCGAACAGG